CACAUUCCUUUCUUUUCUUCUAUUUGAUUGUAUAGCUUAUUUCCAUCUGCAGGAAAAAACUGUUAACAGUAUGUUAUGCUGUAUCACAGCUACGAAGAUUAUAAACACUAGGAGAAUUCAGCUGGAAUUUCAGAACCUCAGCUGGAAAGAACAUGAAUCUGAAAUGGUAUGAAAUAUCCACAACUGGGUGGCCCCUUCUGUUUCAUAGGGAAGAUUCACUAAGAGACAUCUGCUAUGGGGAGAAAUUCUUUCAUCAACAUUUCAGAAAUGUUGUGUCAAUUCAUCUUGAACUAGUUGGGCCUUCAACACAUUGCAAAAAAAGGAGUUUACUGAUGAUCUUGAAGGACCAGAUCAAGAAUCCUCAUCAAUGUCAAGAAAAAAAACAACUGUGUUUUGUGUUGCUGUCAAAAUUAUUGGUGAACAAGUGUAUUCCAUGAGCAGAUCAGGAUACUCUUUCAUUCUGCUGCAUUGCCCACACUGCUGGAAGAUCAUGUUGCUGAGGUAAUACAGGCCUGAACUGUCCUGCCAUCAUUCUCCAUUCAACCCAAUAUUUCCUCUGGUAUCUGGUUGGUCACUGCUAUAAUAGCAAAAGAUAGGUAGAUUCUGCACCACAAAAGUUCUUCAUGUAGAAGGUAAUGUGCCUGACCUCCAAAGUCCCUAAAAUAUCUAAAUUCCUCUAGAGUGCUGAAAAAUUCUCAGCUAUGAUAAAUAUCACAUAACGCUGAAGUGUGACUUUUAGACCUCUGAGUAUCCAAAAGACUGCAAUAGCUGUUCAGCAGUGUUUUCAAUAAAAAGGAUUUUCAGUAAAAAAUUGAUAAUAAA
rnacentral:lncRNA from 1 species